AACCCGUCCUCACAGAUACUUCACGCGACGCAAUACUCCCAGACUAAUGGAUCUCCCGAACACAGAUAUCCUCGAGCUGAAAGACAAGAUGAACGAGCUGAUCAACAUCAUGCAAGGUUUUGCAGUUGGUCAGAAAGCUCUAGCUGACAAAGUUGAGAAGCUCGAGCGGGCUUCAGCGGCAAAUAGUGGUGUGAACCUGGAUGGUGUCUCCAACCAGGGGCUGGGUGGUU
rnacentral:lncRNA from 1 species